UAACUAGGGCCCCGUUGGGGCACUGGCGGGCCCGAGCCGUGUCACGCCGCCCCCAGCGGGACCGCCUCCCCCACCCGAUCGCGUCACACUCAAGGUCCAAAGAUGGUGUGCGCACUUGUUUGUGGUCAUUUACCAUUAUAAUGAACGGGAGGCGCAGUUUCUACCAAAACGCUAGCUGCAGAAAAACUCCAUGUCCUAUUUGAAAAAAGUCUGGACCAUGAGUGAAGGCACAAACACAGCUAAGAUAUAUCCAAAUGGCAAGUUGCUCCUCUUUUCGCUUUUGCCGAGAGAGCAGUGCGUUUGAGCCAUUGAAUGAUGAACAGGAAAAACUUGACUUUAUUCUCCUGCCAUGGGGGGGCGCUCUUUUGGCGAGUAAAAAUUCCUUCACAAAUUUGUUGAUGGCUGGACAUUGCAUCAUCCUAGAAAACUUGGAGGCCAGUGGGGACAAAAAUAAAAAGUUAUAAGACUUUUAAAUAUGUGGAUUUUAGGGUUAUCUUUGGCGCCCCCUAGAACCUAAACCGUGGGGUGCAGCGUCAUGAUUUGAAUAACUUUUAAUGGCCAUGGGGUGUAGAUUGGCCUGAGCAAAUGUGGUGCCGGUGGAACGAAAGCCUUCGGAGGAGUUAGCGAAAUUCCAAUGUGUGCGAAUCUGCAAAAAAUGCGAAAUAACCCUUUAACCGUACAUUUUACAGAUACGUGGCCAUUGACUUUUUCGAAGAUCUUAUUGAAAUACACGUGUAUGUAAAAUUUUGUGUCAAUACGACAAAACAUACAGGCGUAGCACUCAACAAUGUGUAUUUUCACCUUAGUGGACAAGAAAAAAUGGACUUUUUUCUCCUGCCAUGGGGGGCGCUCUUUUGGCGAGUAAAAAUUCCUUCACAAAUGUGUUGAUGGCUGGACAUUGCAUCAUCCUAGAAAACUUGGAGGCCAGUGGGGACAAAAAUAAAAAGUUAUAAGACUUUUAAAUAUGUGGAUUUUACGGUUAUCUUUGGCGCCCCCUAGAACCUAAACCGUGGGGUGCAGCGUCAUGAUUUGAAUAACUUUUAAUGGCCAUGGGGUGUAGAUUGGCCUGAGCAAAUGUGGUGCCGGUGGAACAAAAGCCUUCGGAGGAGUUAGCGAAAUUCCAAUGUGUGCGGAUCGGCAAAAAAUGCGGAAUAACCCUUUAACUGUACAUUUGACAGAUACGCGCGCAUUGACUUUUUUGUAGAUCUUAUUGAGAUACAUGUGUAUGUCAAUUUUUGUGUCAUUUUGCCAAAGCGUACAGGUGUUACACUCAACAAUGUGUAUUUUCACCUUAGGGGACAAGAAAAAAUGGACUUUUUUCUCCUGCCAUGGGGGGGCGCUCUUUUGGGGAGUAAAAAUUCCUUCACAAAUGUGUUGAUGGCUGGACAUUGCAUCAUCCUAGAAAACUUGGAGGCCAGUGAGGGCAAAAAUAAAAAGUUAUAAGACUUUUAAAUAUGUGGAUCUUAGGGUUAUCUUUGGCGCCCCCUAGAACCUAAACCGUGGGGUGCAGCGUCAUGAUUUGAAUAACUUUUAAUGGCCAUGGGGUGUAGAUUGGCCUGAGCAAAUGUGGUGCCGGUGGAACGAAAGCCUUCGGAGGAGUUAGCGAAAUUCCAAUGUGUGCGGAUCGGCAAAAAAUGCGAAAUAACCCUUUAACCGUACAUUUGACAGAUACGCCCGCACUGACUUUUUUGUAGAUCUUAUUGAGAUACAUGUGUGUGUCAAUUUUUGUGUCAUUUUGACAAAGCGUACCGGCGUGACAGUGAAUAGUGUGAAUUUUCACCUUAGGGGGCGCUAUGGAGCCAUUUUGCAUUUUCUUGUUUGGGCGACUUCGGAAUAUCAAAUUUUUCACCAGGCCCGGUCGUCCUGCCAAAUUUCAUGAGUUUUCGCCAGUGGGAAGUGGGCCAUUUUCCAGUUCAAAGGGGAGGAAAAAUAAUAACUAGGGCCCCGGUGGGGCACUGUCGGGCCCGAGCCGCGUCGCGCCGCCCCCAGCGCGACCGCCUCCCCCUCCCGAUCGCGUCACACUCAAGGUCCAAAGAUGGUGUGCGCACUUGUCUGUGGUCAUUUCCCAUUAUAAUGAAUGGGAGGCGCAGUUUCUACCAAAACACUCGCUGCAGACAAACUUCAUGUCCUAUUUGAAAAAAGUCUGGACCAUGAGUGAGGGCACAAACACAGCUAGGAUAUAUCCAAAUGGCAGGUUGCUCCUCGUUACGGUGUUGCCGGGAGAGUGAUGCGAUUGAGCCAUUGAGUGAUGGGCAGGAAAAACUUGACUGUUUCUCCUGCCAUGGGGGUUGGGGGAUGGGGGGGGGGGGGUGGAUUCUUUUAAGAAUGUGGAUAUUUGGGUCAUCUUUGGCGCCCCCUAGAACGUAAACCGUGGGGUGCAGCGUCAUGAUUUUUACAACUUUGAAUGGCCAUGGGGUGUAGAUUGGCCUGAGCAAAUUUGGUGUCAGUGGGACGAAAGCCUUAGGAGUAGUUAGCCACAUUCCAAUGUGUGCGAAUCGGCAAAAAAUGCAAAAUAUCCCUUUAACCGUACAUUUUACAGAUACGCGCGCAUUGACUUUUUCGUAGAUCUUAUUGAGAUACAUGUGAUUGUCAAAUUUUGUGUCAAUAUGACAAAGCGUACAGGUAUGACAGUCAACAAUGUGUUUUUUCACCUUAUGGGACAAGAAAAAAUGGACUUUUUUCUCCUGCCAUGGGGGGGCGCUCUUUUGGGGAGUAAAAAUUCCUUCACAAAUGUGUUGAUGGCUGGACAUUGCAUCAUCCUAGAAAACUUGGAGACCAGUGAGGGCAAAAAUAAAAAGUUAUAAGACUUUUAAAUAUGUGGAUCUUAGGGUUAUCUUUGGCGCCCCCUAGAACCUAAACCGUGGGGUGCAGCGUCAUGAUUUGAAUAACUUUUAAUGGCCAUGGGGUGUAGAUUGGCCUGAGCAAAUGUGGUGCCGGUGGAACGAAAGCCUUCGGAGGAGUUAGCGAAAUUCCAAUGUGUGCGGAUCGGCAAAAAAUGCGAAAUAACCCUUUAACCGUACAUUUGACAGAUACGCCCGCACUGACUUUUUUGUAGAUCUUAUUGAGAUACAUGUGUGUGUCAUUUUUUGUGUCAUUUUGACAAAGCAUACAGGCGUGACAGUGAAUAGUGUGAAUUUUCACCUUAGGGGGCGCUAUGGAGCCAUUUUGCAUUUUCUUGUUUGGGCGACUUCAGAAUAUCAAAUUUUUCACCAGGCCCGGUCGUCCUGCCAAAUUUCAUGAGUUUUCGCCAGUGGGAAGUGGGCCAUUUUCCAGUUCAAAGGGGAGGAAAAAUAAUAAUAAUAACAAACUAGGACCCCGUUGGGGCACUGGCGGGCCCGAGCCGUGUCGCGUCCCCCCCCCCCCCCCCCCCAACGUGCUGCCUCCCCGUCCCAUUUGUGUCCUCUGGCCAUCGCCCUCUCUGUUAACGCCCAUCACUGCAAAGACCCUUUUCCUUCAUCGGCGUUUGCUGUUCUUCCUGCCAGUGCGUGUUGCUUUCACUUACACUUGCCACAGCCAGCCUCGUGAGUGCCUAGCCUAUUGGAUAUCACUGUCACCUACACAGGACAGUCAUUACCUUUCUAUUAAUACUUUGUGUUUUAAUUUCACAUUAAUUUCCAUAUUGUAUAAACGACUGGAAAAAACUUGAGCCCCUGCCCCUGUAUAAUCAUGUGCACGUCCCUGUUCUAGCUCCAAGGUGAAUCUUCACUGCUCAUGUUCUCCUCAGAAAUAGUCACCUCACUCCCCUCAGGUUACUGUACACAUGCACCAACUAUCUGCUUCAGGUUUGAAAUGGAGCUUCAUGGUUGUCUUUUGGAGAAAUGAACAGUCAAGUUGUGUUUGAAAUUUGAUUUUUUUCAGGGGCAAAAGGAGCCUCUGCAUUCUUGUCAAAUAUGUAAAUAGCAUGUUUUUGCAGGUGCUAAAAACCAGACUCUGAGUGUGUGUGUGUGUGUGUGUGUGUGUGUGUGUGUGCGUGUGUGUGUGUCUGUGUGUGCGUUCAAGUCACAUGACAUAUUUAACCGGAUGUAGCUGCAAGACGGAGCCUCGUUGACUCUCCGUUUCAACUUAUCUCAAAAGUGAGGACCUCAACCUAUAUACCAGUUUUUAAAUUGUGUUGAUAGGCCAAAUAAAACCAGAGUUAUGAUAAAUUAUGUCCGCGAUACUUUUUUUCUGCUUAUUUUGAUCACGUUCGGCGCUUGAUCGCGCUGUAUGAGACAGGAAAACAUAGCAUGCAGACAUUAGCGACAGGUCUUACAGGCGGAAAAGGCUUGCCAAAAGAAAAAAAAACACACCACAACAUCUCUCCUAUUGGUGGAAAACUUCACCACAACAACCAAUCCAAAAUUAUAUGGUGACUGAUUGACAAGGGGCGGGCGCUUACGUUCUUCCUGCAACAUGAGAAGGGAGGGAGGGACUCUCAGCAGGGAUGCAGUCUGGGACACGUAGUUGCAAACCUAGCGACUUUGUUGUUAGAUUCAAUGACUUUUCAGACCCCCUAACGACUUUUUUUAGAAAGAAAGGGACUUUUAUCGACUUCUUCUGGAGUUUAGAGACUCUGACAUGAAGCAGGCUUUCCUUACUGAGGAGUUAGCAACGCUGCUAAGGGUGCAGAGCCACACAUGCGCUCAGAGCUCUGCAUGGGAGACUGAAGCUGACAGAGCUGCAGCAGUUAGCAGGUUUCACCCUCAGAGACCACCAGGGGUUCAUGUUGAGGCAUUUUAAUUUUUUUUUUUUUUGUGCCAUAGACACUGUCAGCACAAUCUGCAGUUACACUAACAAAAAUGCUGCAAAAAACAAAGAAUUAUGGAAAAAUUACACAUGGACUGACAUAGAGGAGGAUCUACACAAGUUUUUUACAUCAUGUUUUACAUCAUGCAUCAUUUACAUCAUGUUUUUUUGUAGUGGCAUAAAUAAAAAGUGACAUUUGUGAGACUAUACAGUGUUUUGUAAAUAAUUUUACAAAGAACGCCUGGGCCAUUGCCUGCAUUUUGAUGUAAAUAGAGGUAAAUUACUAUGUUCUUUGUUAAAAAUUUGCAUAUGUUUUGAAGUUUACAAUUUUUAUUUGAAGUUUAAGUUUUAAAAACAGUUCAUCACACAUAUUUGUGGUUUAAUUUCACAUUAAUUUCCAUAUUGUAUAAAUGACUGGAAAAAACUUGAGCCCCUGCCCCUGUAUAAUCAUGUGCACGUCCCUGUUCUAGCUCCAAGGUGAAUCUUCACUGCUCAUGUUCUCCUCAGAAAUAGUCACCUCACUCCCCUCAGGUUACUGUACACAUGCACCAACUAUCUGCUUCAGGUUUGAAAUGGAGCUUCAUGGUUGUCUUUUGGAGAAAUGAACGGUCAAGUUGUGUUUGAAAUUUGAUUUUUUUCAGGGGCAAAAGGAAGCCUCUGCAUUCUUGUCAAAUAUGUAAACAGCAUGUUUUUGCAGGUGCUAAAAAACAGACUCUGAGUGUGUGUGUGUGUGUGUGUGUGUGUGUGUGUGUGUGUGUGUGUGUGUGUAUGUUGGCGUGUGUGUAUAUGUGUGUGUAUCCUGCAGUACUCUGUACUCCUGCAGUGGCCAAAAAGACUUUUAAGAAUGUGGAUUUUUGGGUCAUCUUUGGCGCCCCCUAGAACUGCAGUACUCUGUACUCCUGCAGUGGCCAAAAUGACUUUUAAGAAUGUGGAUUUUUGGGUCAUCUUUGGCGCCCCCUAGAACGUAAACCGUGGGGUGCAGCGUCAUGAUUUUUACAACUUUGAAUGGGCAUGGGGUGUAGAUUGCCCUGAGCAAAUUUGGUAUCGGUGGGACGAAAGCCUUAGGAGGAGAUAGCCACAUUCCAAUGUGUGCGAAUCGGCAAAAAAUGCAAAAUAGCCCUUUAACCGUACAUUAUAAAGAUACGCGCUCUUUGACUUUUUCGUAGAUCUAAUUGAGAUACACAUGAUUGUCAAUUUUUGUGUCAAUAUGACAAAGCGUUCAGGUGUGACACUCAACAAUGUGUAUUUUCAUGUAAGGGGACAAGAAAAAAUUGACUUUUAUCUCCUACCAUGGGGGGGCGCUCUUUUGGGGAGUAAAAAUUCCUUCACAAAUGUGUUGAUGGCUGGACAUUGCAUCAUCCUAGAAAACUUGGAGGCCAGUGAGGACAAAAAUAAAAAGUUAUAAAACAUUUAAGAAUGUGGAUUUUUGGGUUAUUUUUGGCGCCCCCUAGAACCUAAACCAUGGGGUGCAGCAUCAUGAUUUGAAUAACUUUUAAUGGCCAUGGGGUGUAGAUUGGCCUGAGCAAAUGUGGUGCCGGUGGAACGAAAGCCUUCGGAGGAGUUAGCGAAAUUCCAAUGUGUGCGUAUCGGCAAAAAAUGCGGAAUAACCCUUUAACUGUACAUUUGACAGAUAUGCGCGCAUUGACUUUUUUGUAGAUCUUAUUGAGUUACAUGUGUGUGUCAAUUUUUGUGUCAUUUUGACAAAGCGUAUAGGCGUGACACUCAACAAUGUGUAUUUUCACCUUAGGGGACAAGAAAAAAUGGACUUUUUUCUCCUGCCAUGGGGGGGCGCUCUUUUGGGGAGUAAAAAUUCCUUCACAAAUGUGUUGAUGGCUGGACAUUGCAUCAUCCUAGAAAACUUGGAGGCCAGUGAGGACAAAAAUAAAAAGUUAUAAGACUUUUAAAUAUGUGGAUUUUAGUGUUAUCUUUGGCGCCCCCUAGAACCUAAACCGUGGGGUGCAGCGUCAUGAUUUUGAUAACUUUUAAUGGCCACGGGGUGUAGAUUGGCCUGAGCAAAUGUGGUGCCGGUGGAACGAAAGCCUUCGGAGGAGUUAGCGAAAUUCCAAUGUGUGCGGAUCGGCAAAAAAUGCGAAAUAACCCUUUAACCGUACAUUUGACAGAUACGGCCGCACUGACUUUUUUGUAGAUCUUAUUGAGAUACAUAUGUGUGUCAAUUUUUGUGUCAAUAUGACAAAGCGUACAGGCGUGACAGUCAAUAGUGUGAAUUUCCACCUUAGGGGGCGCUAUGGAGCCAUUUUGCAUUUUAUUGUUUGGGCGACUUCAGAAUAUCGAAUUUUUCACCAGGCCCGGUCGUCCUGCCAAAUUUCAUGAGUUUUCGCCAGUGGGAAGUGGGCCAUUUUCCAGUUCAAAGGGGAGGAAAAAGAAGAAAGAAAGAAAGAAAGAAAGAAAGAAAGAAACAAAGAAAAACCACUUGGGGAAUAAUAGGGCCUACGCCCGGCUGCUCUGCAGCUGGCUCGGGCCCUAACUAGGACCCCGUUGGGGCACUGGCGGGCCCGAGCCGUGUCGCGCCCCCCCCCCCCAACGUGCUGCCUCCCCGUCCCAUUUGUGUCCUCUGGCCAUCGCCCUCUCUGGUAACGCCCAUCACUGCAAAGACCCUUUUCCUUCAUCGGCGUUUGCUGUUCUUCCUGCCAGUGCGUGUUGCUUUCACUUACACUUGCCACAGCCAGCCUCGUGAGUGCCUAGCCUAUUGGAUAUCACUGUCACCUACACAGGACAGUCAUUACCUUUCUAUUAAUACUUUGUGUUUUAAUUUCACAUUAAUUUCCAUAUUGUAUAAACGACUGGAAAAAACUUGAGCCCCUGCCCCUGUAUAAUCAUGUGCAUGUCUCUGUUCUAGCUCCAAGGUGAAUCUUCACUGCUCAUGUUCUCCUCAGAAGCACUCACCUCACUCCCCUCAGGUUACUGUACACAUGCACCAACUGCCUGCUUCAGGUUUGGAUGGAGCUUCAUGGUUGUCUUUUGGAGAAAUGACCAGUCAAGUUGUGUUUGAAAUUUGAUUUUUUUCAGGGGCAAAAGGAGCCUCUGCAUUCUUGUCAAAUAUGUAAAUAGCAUGUUUUUGCAGGUGCUAAAAACCAGACUCUGAGUGUGUGUGUGUGUGUGUGUGUGUGUGUGUGUGUGUGUGUGUGUGUGUGCGUGUGUGUGUGUCUAUGUGUGCGUUCAAGUCACAUGACAUAUUUAACCUGAUGUAGCUGCAGGACGGAGCCUCGUUGACUCUCCGUUUCAACUUAUCUCAAAAGUGAGGACCUCAACCUAUAUACCAGUUUUUAAAUUGUGUUGAUAGGCCAAAUAAAACCAGAGUUAUGAUAAAUUAUGUCCGCGAUACUUUUUUUCUGCUUAUUUUGAUCACGUUCGGCGCUCGAUCGCGCUGUAUGAGACAGGAAAACAUAGCAUGCAGACAUUAGCGACAGGUCUUACAGGCGGAAAAGGCUUGCCAAAAGAAAAAAAAAACACACCACAACAUCUCUCCUAUUGGUGGAAAACUUCACCACAACAACCAAUCCAAAAUUAUAUGGUGACUGAUUGACAAGGGGCGGGCGCUUACGUUCUUCCUGCAACAUGAGAAGGGAGGGAGGGACUCUCAGCAGGGAUGCAGUCUGGGACACGUAGUUGCAAACCUAGCGACUUUGUUGUUAGAUUCAAUGACUUUUCAGACACCCUAACGACUUUUUUUUAGAAAGAAAGGGACUUUUAUCGACUUCUUCUGGAGUUUAGAGACUCUGACAUGAAGCAGGCUUUCCUUACUGAGGAGUUAGCAACGCUGCUAAGGGUGCAGAGCCACACAUGCGCUCAGAGCUCUGCAUGGGAGACUGAAGCUGACAGAGCUGCAGCAGUUAGCAGGUUUCACCCUCAGAGACCACCAGGGGUUCAUGUUGAGGCAUUUUAUUUUAUUUUUUUUUUUGUGCCAUAGACACUGUCAGCAAAAUCUGCAGUUACACUAACAAAAAUGCUGCAAAAAACAAAGAAUUAUGGAAAAAUUACACAUGGACUGACAUAGAGGAGGAUCUACACAAGUUUUUUACAUCAUGUUUUACAUCAUGCAUCAUUUACAUCAUGUUUUUUUGUAGUGGCAUAAAUAAAAAGUGACAUUUGUGAGACUAUACAGUGUUUUGUAAAUAAUUUUACAAAGAACGCCUGGGCCAUUGCCUGCAUUUUGAUGUAAAUAGAGGUAAAUUACUAUGUUCUUUGUUAAAAAUUUGCAUAUGUUUUGAAGUUUACAAUUUUUAUUUGAAGUUUAAGUUUUAAAAACAGUUCAUCACACAUAUUUGUGGUUUAAUUUCACAUUAAUUUCCAUAUUGUAUAAAUGACUGGAAAAAACUUGAGCCCCUGCCCCUGUAUAAUCAUGUGCACGUCCCUGUUCUAGCUCCAAGGUGAAUCUUCACUGCUCAUGUUCUCCUCAGAAAUAGUCACCUCACUCCCCUCAGGUUACUGUACACAUGCACCAACUAUCUGCUUCAGGUUUGAAAUGGAGCUUCAUGGUUGUCUUUUGGAGAAAUGAACAGUCAAGUUGUGUUUGAAAUUUGAUUUUUUUCAGGGGCAAAAGGAAGCCUCUGCAUUCUUGUCAAAUAUGUAAACAGCAUGUUUUUGCAGGUGCUAAAAAACAGACUCUGAGUGUGUGUGUGUGUCUGUGUGUGUGUGUGUGUGUGUGUGUGUGUGUGUGUGUGUAUGUUGGCGUGUGUGUAUAUGUGUGUGUAUCCUGCAGUACUCUGUACUCCUGCAGUGGCCAAAAAGACUUUUAAGAAUGUGGAUUUUUGGGUCAUCUUUGGCGCCCCCUAGAACUGCAGUACUCUGUACUCCUGCAGUGGCCAAAAUGACUUUUAAGAAUGUGGAUUUUUGGGUCAUCUUUGGCGCCCCCUAGAACGUAAACCGUGGGGUGCAGCGUCAUGAUUUUUACAACUUUGAAUGGGCAUGGAGUGUAGAUUGCCCUGAGCAAAUUUGGUAUCGGUGGGAUGAAAGCCUUAGGAGGAGAUAGCCACAUUCCAAUGUGUGCGAAUCGGCAAAAAAUGCAAAAUAGCCCUUUAACCGUACAUUAUACAGAUACGCGCUUUUUGACUUUUUCGUAGAUCUAAUUGAGAUACACAUGAUUGUCAAUUUUUGUGUCAAUAUGACAAAGCGUUCAGGCGUGACACUCAACAAUGUGUAUUUUUAUGUAAGGGGACAAGAAAAAAUUGACUUUUUUCUCCUACCAUGGGGGGGCGCUCUUUUGGGGAGUAAAAAUUCCUUCACAAAUGUGUUGAUGGCUGGACAUUGCAUCAUCCUAGAAAACUUGGAGGCCAGUGAGGACAAAAAUAAAAAGUUAUAAAACAUUUAAGAAUGUGGAUUUUUGGGUUAUUUUUGGCGCCCCCUAGAACCUAAACCAUGGGGUGCAGCAUCAUGAUUUGAAUAACUUUUAAUGGCCAUGGGGUGUAGAUUGGCCUGAGCAAAUGUGGUGCCGGUGGAACGAAAGCCUUCGGAGGAGUUAGCGAAAUUCCAAUGUGUGCGUAUCGGCAAAAAAUGCGGAAUAACCCUUUAACUGUACAUUUGACAGAUACGCGCGCAUGGACUUUUUUGUAGAUCUUAUUGAGUUACAUGUGUGUGUCAAUUUUUGUGUCAUUUUGACAAAGCGUAUAGGCGUGACACUCAACAAUGUGUAUUUUCACCUUAGGGGACAAGAAAAAAUGGACUUUUUUCUCCUGCCAUGGGGGGGCGCUCUUUUGGGGAGUAAAAAUUCCUUCACAAAUGUGUUGAUGGCUGGACAUUGCAUCAUCCUAGAAAACUUGGAGGCCAGUGAGGACAAAAAUAAAAAGUUAUAAGACUUUUAAAUAUGUGGAUUUUAGUGUUAUCUUUGGCGCCCCCUAGAACCUAAACCUUGGGGUGCAGCGUCAUGAUUUUGAUAACUUUUAAUGGCCACGGGGUGUAGAUUGGCCUGAGCAAAUGUGGUGCCGGUGGAACGAAAGCCUUCGGAGGAGUUAGCGAAAUUCCAAUGUGUGCGGAUCGGCAAAAAAUGCGAAAUAACCCUUUAACCGUAAUUUUGACAGAUACGGCCGCACUGACUUUUUUGUAGAUCUUAUUGAGAUACAUAUGUGUGUCAAUUUUUGUGUCAAUAUGACAAAGCGUACAGGCGUGACAGUCAAUAGUGUGAAUUUCCACCUUAGGGGGCGCUAUGGAGCCAUUUUGCAUUUUAUUGUUUGGGCGACUUCAGAAUAUCGAAUUUUUCACCAGGCCCGGUCGUCCUGCCAAAUUUCAUGAGUUUUCGCCAGUGGGAAGUGGGCCAUUUUCCAGUUCAAAGGGGAGGAAAAAGAAGAAACUAGGGCCCCGUUGGGGCACUGGCGGGCCCGAGCCGUGUCACGCCGCCCCCAGCGCGACCACCUCCCCCACCCGAGCGCGUCACACUCAAGGUCCAAAGAUGGUGUGCGCACUUGUUUGUGGUCAUUUACCAUUAUAAUGAACGGGAGGCGCAGUUUCUACCAAAACGCUCGCUGCAGAAAAACUCCAUGUCCUAUUUGAAAAAAGUCUGGACCAUGAGUGAGGGCACAAACACAGCUAAGAUAUAUCCAAAU